AUAAUACCCCAUGGUAGGUGUAUGCCACAUUUUGCUUACCCAUUUGUCUGCCAGUGGAUGGGAUAUAAUGGUCAGUAAAGCACACGUGAUAUUUACUUUGUAAGCAUUCAGCCUUGGAACUUGGAAAGAAUUUGAGGGAGAAUGUGGAUGUGAGGUGACUUCUGAGGCUAGGUCAUAAAAGUAUUACACUUCUUGUCAUGUUCUUGGAUUGCUCACUCUGGGGAAAGCCAGCUGCUAUGCUGUGAGGAUACUCAAAACAGCCCUUUGGACAGGAACUAGAGCUUCAUGCCAACAGCCAGUACCAACCUUCCAGCCACGUAAAUGAGCCCCUUUGGGAAUGGAUCCUCCAGUUUCUUUCAGGCUUUUAAAUAACUGCAGCCCAUCAGAGUGAACAGGC
rnacentral:lncRNA from 10 species